AUUAAAUUAGAACAUUAUUCAAGUUUUUCUUUUUUACUUUUUUUUAAUUUCUGAAUUUUUUGCCUAAAACAAAAAAAAAAAAAUUAAGCUUACAUAAAUUUUAUAAAAUCUCGAAUCUGAGAUUAGAUCGAUUUUAAUGGAAAACUAUGUAGAUAUUUUAUACCCAUUCUAAGUGCAGUAAGUUAGUUUGCAUAACUACUACUUAGAAUCAGUACCAGUUCAUUGUAGCACAUGGAGCCAGUGUUUUAUAGCUCGUUAAUGCAAAACUAUCGGAAGUUAUUCACGGAACACUAUUGUAAGAUACGUAGAUACGUAGAUAUACCAAGUAUGUUGAAGCAUUGCCAAUAUUACAAUCACUGCUUGUGCAGCACAGAACCAUGUAUUCACCUUAGACUACUACACCUGCUAGUUUCUUGGAAUACAAAAAUUACCCAACCUUGAACUACUUUUAACUGUUGCUCACUGUACCAGAGUUUUCAUAAUCUCUUACUUCAAAUAUAACUUUACUCCAUAUGUAAAAUAGAUACAAAUCAAAUAUUUGUUUAUGUUCCGUUACAUGAUUUAGAAUUAAAUAAAUAAACCGCCGGUUUAUACACGUUCUCAACAGUUUAAUAACAAAAUUUAUUAUUUAGUAAAUAAGUAAUAAAAAUUUUGGCAUAGAAAUUACACGCACAUAUAUAUAUAUAUUUUUUUGCUCUGUUUAUUAAGUAAAUCAAAGAGCAUGCUAUGUGACUCUGCAAACAUUAAAGGACCCCAUUAAACGCGCUGAGACUUAAUGAGCAUUUAUAAGUCACCAGUUCUGUUUCGAAGAAUAAAACGUUUGUGUAGAUGUAAAAAAAAAUAAAAAAGAAAUGUUAAUAAGUAUGCAAUUUUCUGCUAAAUGGUAUCCUUAAAUCAAUUUAGAGUUCUUAAUCUAGAAUGGCAGCCAAGAGAGGAAAAUUGUAUAUGAAAUUGCAUCGCUUCCGGGUGCAAAUAGAAUUUUCUGGGUCUGAGAGGUAAUUUUAGGUUCGAGCCCCCUUUAACCUUAGGUUAAAUUUAAACAUAUAAAGGAUCCACCGUCGUUGGGGGAAUAAAAACUUUCAGGACGUUCCCCCCUUUUUAAUAUUCUUUCUAUAAGAUUAUCUUGUUUAUUAUUAACAUAAAAGCUUUUCGCUGUUUUUACAAACUCGAAAACGUUAAUAUUAAAAUUUGUUUACGUUAGAUAAAUAUUUUUAUUCAAACCUGUUUUACUACACAAAAAUAAUCGUAUUUUUAUGAUUUAAAACAAAAUCCUUUUCGUAAGCUUUCCAUCGAGAAUAUUUUUUCGUUAAAGAGCAAAACUUAUCCGGAUAGCCUACUAUAAUCGCAAAAAAAAAGCUAAAAACGAAAAAGUAUAAUAAAAUUUUGAGUGUUUCUUAUAUAUUUUUUAACAUUUUGAGACAGUUUUAUCGACAACAAUCGACAAAAAAAAAAGGCAACAAGCGUCAUUUGAAAUAAGCGAUAAUACGAAACUUCUCGAAGCCAUUGUCGUCGAUGCCCAACGUGUCGUAAAAACUUUAUUUACAGCCUGUGCUAGUAGAACGAUGACGUCAUUAAUUCUAUCCAGUUUUUAUUACGGUUUGUCGCUUUUUCAUCGCUACAGCUCUUCUGGUUUCGGAUCAUUGUUUCCGAUUUUCUGACCACGUGUUAACCAAUCCGAUUCUGAAACAAGUUCAGCACAGCUACGUUUUGCUUCAUUAUCUCUAGUAUAUAUUUUAUGCAUGGAAAGUUUAGAUUCUAAUCUUUCACUAGAUAACUUAAUCUGUUUAAUUUUUACAGACACCUUACCAGUUUUUACUUUCACGUCAGCUCGAAUGACACGAUGUUAUUUUAAUAUUUUUGUUAAACGCAAAUGUUUCG
rnacentral:lncRNA from 1 species